CUGAACGCCUCUAAGUCAGAAUCCGUGCUAGAAACGAUGAUGUUGGUGUCGCACAUUAGACUUGUGUUUAAAUAGAGCUUUGCUCGUGAACCAAAUAUGGUGGGCUGGGUUGUCUUUGCGGAAACGCUUGGGCGACUUGUCUACGAAUUGUAAUCAUAAUAUGGGCGGCGGUGAAUCCUUUGCAGACGACUUGAAUGGGAACGGGGUACUGUAAGUGGUAGAGUAGCCUUGUUGCUACGAUCCACUGAGGUUAAGCCCUUGUUCUAAAGAUUUGUUC
rnacentral:rRNA from 3 species